rnacentral:rRNA from 1 species
ACGCACGCUGGCGGCGUGCUUCACACCUGCAAGUCGAACGGAAAGGCCCUGCUUUUGUGGGGUGCUCGAGUGGCGAACGGGUGAGUAACACGUGAGUAACCUGCCCUUGACUUUGGGAUAACUUCAGGAAACUGGGGCUAAUACCGGAUAGGAGUUCCUGCUGCAUGGUGGGGGUUGGAAAGUUUCGGCGGUUGGGGAUGGACUCGCGGCUUAUCAGCUUGUUGGUGGGGUAGUGGCUUACCAAGGCUUUGACGGGUAGCCGGCCUGAGAGGGUGACCGGCCACAUUGGGACUGAGAUACGGCCCAGACUCCUACGGGAGGCAGCAGUGGGGAAUAUUGCACAAUGGGCGGAAGCCUGAUGCAGCAACGCCGCGUGCGGGAUGACGGCCUUCGGGUUGUAAACCGCUUUCGCCUGUGACGAAGCGUGAGUGACGGUAAUGGGUAAAGAAGCACCGGCUAACUACGUG